UCAAGUUUUACGUUGUGUUUCGUGGAAUAAAGUCCAUUUGUUAAAAAGGUAGCACUAUUUGAUCAUUGUUAAUACAUUUAAAGUAAGAACAGUUCAUGAUUUAUAGAAUUAUAUAUGCACAUGUUGAUUUCUGUUGAAAGUAUAACGUAAAUUGUCAUGUCAUUUGAAAUGUCCAAAAUUUGUAAGGGAGGUAUUCCAUUACAAUAUCUUUUUCCUAUUUAACACAUCUAGAAAUCAGACCUUUUAGCGUAAUGAAAUUGUCAAUAUAUUUAGAGGCUCUAAAAAUGCACACAAUAAUGCAAAUUGGAAUCAGGUGAACAUUACAUUAUAUUAACAACAUUCAUCGUUUAAAGGUACAUUAUGCCUCAGAAACGAAUACAAAUUUUCCUUUCACAUGAGUUUUAUAACGUUUUAAAAGAGUUUUAGGGCAUGUUAUGUGCUUAUUGCCUGAAGCAAAUGACGCUGAACUUGAAAUUAUUUGUCAUAAAAAUAGCAAAACGUAAACAAAGUAGUUUGACUUCCAUACGAAGUACUAAGUCUCUAUAACUGUACUUUUUCCAAACAGCAAGAAAAGCAAAAGAUGGUUCAAGUGUUUAGCCCAGAAGUAAUAUUUUGGAAACUUAAUAUUAACAGAACAUGAAAAAUAGAAAGUUUUGAGAAACAAUUAUAAAAGCUUUUUUAGAACAUAAUGGGCCUUUAACAUAAUUCUCUUUGUACAAAAGCGCAUUAAUAACCACUAAUUGCUUACACAUUUUAAUGGCAUAUAAAUACUAUAUAUAUACUUGAAAUGAGAGAAUAUCCUAUCAGUGUAGAAUGUGUUUGGAGCAACAACUGAAAUCUCUAGCUGGGUAAUUUGAAUGCGUUUGUUUUACCCAGAAACACAAACUUAGUUAUAACAAUUUGGCUCGAACCUUUGUGAAAUAUACAAUUAUUCUGUGUAAGAAGUGAUAACUACGUUGUUGGACAAAAUGAGUUCAGAAUCGUUCAAUCUGGCAAACUGCAAAUAAAAAAUCGUGCAAUCUGGCAAAAACAAACUGCAAUAAAAAAAUCAUACAAUUUGGCAAAAGAAACUGCGAUCAAGAAAAAUCGUGUAAUUUGGCAAAAGAAACUGCAAUCAAGAAAUCGUGCAAUCUGGCAAAAAACUACAACCAAGAAUCGUGCAAUAUGGCAAAAACAAACUGCAUACAAGAAGUGUUCCUUUUGGCAAAAUAACUUUUUAUAAGAGUACAGUUUGGCAGAAAAAAAUAUCAAGCAAGAAAUAUUCAGUCUAAAAACAAUACAACUGUUAAGGCAAUGAAAAAUAACAAGCAAGCUUAAAACGAAAACCAUAUGUUGAUAUAAACGCAGCUUCAAUGAUAAGUCAAGACCAAGUCUUAGUUGACAAUUAACGAGGAGCCUUAUUACCAUAGAGACAAGAAAAUAAUGUACUUUUCUUAACAUAUAGCUGGAAUAUAUAAUAAAGUGACUUAUUGAGAGUGUCAAUUAAUUGUUAACAUCCAUAAGAAAUUACACAAUUUCCAUUCUGAGUGAUUGAUAAAUGAUUAAUUAAUUAAAUUAUUUCGUAUCAUAAGCAAGUGAUUUUUCCGUUAAUUUUUUAUUAAAACAGAAAUGUGUAAAGGAUAAAAUAGAAUGAUUUUUAUUUUUUGUUUGUAUUUUCUCUACAGUUUCUAAUAUUUUUUAUAUACAAGUAAAGGGUAGACAACAAACAUUAAAAUGCAUUAAACUUGUUGAAAGUCUAUUUUUGAUUUGCAAAAUGAACACUAUAAACCCGAUCAAUAAUAAGUCAAAUACAACAGAUAUCAAUGAUACAUACUUGGGUGAAAUAAUUUAUACAUACUGGGAUAUUAAAGAUGUAUAUGAUAGCAAUACAUACAUGAAUGAUAGCAAUACAGACAUGAAUGUCACAAAUUUUAGAUACUCGAAUGACUUUACUAUAUUUAAAAAAAAAAAUAGGGGUAUCAUUGCAUUACAUUGAAAUAUGUUUAUUUGUUAUAGGACUUUUAGGAAAUUUAAUCUCACUUAUUGUGUGGGUGAGAGGAAAAAACACAAGAAAACUUGCGUGUGCAACAUACUUUAUAUAUUUGUCCACCUCUGAUGGUCUUUGUUUGCUGUUUAAAAUAUUUUAUAAUUUGACCACAAUGCAUUUUGUCUUUGGAGGAAUAUGUAUACCUUUUUUAACAACUGCCUACUUGUUUCCUCAACUUUCCUCCUGGAUCAUUGUUUGUAUUUGUGCUGAAAGAAUGUUGAGUAUUUGUUUCCCUUUAAAAUUCAAUACAAAGGGGGCUGGAAGGAGAGCACAUUUUUGCUUUAUUUCGCUUUUGAUUUUACUUGUAGGAAUUAACCUGACAAAUGCAGUUUUAUUGUGUAAAGGCAUCUUCUCUAACUAUUCAAUUGAACACAAUAAAAUGGGAGAACUAUCUGUAAUAUAUGUACUCUGUGUCUUUCCUCUGUCAUUCAUUACAAUAUGUAACGUUGUUACUUUUUCAAUUCUUUACAAAAGGAAAUCAUCAGCUGUAACCAGUCGCAGACGACAUUUGACAAAAUUCACGCGCUUAAGUAUAGCUGCGGGAAUCUUCCAUUGUGUUUGUGUUGUCCCGAUCAUGGUUGCUAAGCUCAUCGAGUAUAGGUAUAUUGAAAACAUGUUGACUGAAUAUCAAACUAUUAUUAUUAAUAAGCUUGCAGAAACGUUUCUAUACAUAAAUAACGCUUUUAGUUUUAUACUCUACUCAGUGUCAUCAAAAGGUUUCCAGCAAGAUAGUAAACAACUGCUUUGUAAGUUUAGGCAAAGAGAGUAAGAAAGAACAAAGAACAAUGGUCAGUUUCAGCUUCAUCACAAAUAAUAUUUAAAAUCAGUCUAAGAAGAGGAAAAAUUAAAAUUACCAGUUUUCCUCUUGGGCUGAUCGAUUUGGCUUUUGGUCAAUGUAUCAUUUUCAGGAUUUCUUUCAUAAAAAAUGUCUAGUUUUCUUGUAAACAUAUAUUUCUUUUCUAAUUCUCUUCGGCAUUAU